AGAGACCAUCCCCUGCCACCGCCGCUAACAAUUAAUGAGCAUGGACUCUGCAGACCUUCGGCUUAUUCAACAAUUAAUACACAUGGCUCCUGCUAUCUACUGAUCUCAAGCCCUCCACGGCAAAUCCACUCGGUUGCGUCUGAUUAGCCAUGACAGCUCCUUGGCCCCGGCCUAAUCUCCUACGGCAAGACAUUAAUUCACACAAUCCCGCAUUAAUUAAUACAACAUGCUCAAUCAUACGAUAACUCCGCCCCGUCA
rnacentral:lncRNA from 1 species